rnacentral:rRNA from 1 species
AUAAAUAAGCGGGGGAAAAGAAACCAACAGGGAUUCCCUCAGUAGCGGCGAGCGAAGAGGGAAGAGCCCAGCGCCGAAUUCCCCGCCCGGAAGGGCGUUCGGAACAUGUGGCGUUUAGGAGGAAUCUCUCCGGAGGCAGACGGUGUCGCAAGUCCCCCUGAACGGGGCUGUGAUCCAGAGCGGGUGCGAGGCCCAUAGCUGGUACCGUCUCCUUCGGGUGUCACCUCCUCGGAGUCGGGUUGCUUGGGAGUGCAGCCCUAAUUGGGUGGUAAACUCCACCUAAGGCUAAAUACGUCCGUGAGACCGAUAGCAAACAAGUACCGUGAGGGAAAGUUGCAAAGAACUUUGAAGAGAGAGUUCAAGAGUACGUGAAACCGCUCAGAGGCAAACGGGUGGGCCCACGAAAGCCGAAGGCGGGGGGAUUCAGUCGAGAGGACGUCGGGGCAGUGCCUGCUGGUUCGACGGACCGUGCCAGGCCGGGUUGGCUCCCGAGACCCUUCGCCUCUCGACGCAUUUCCCUCUGCUUAGUAGGACGCCGCAACCCGUCGGUGCACUCAGCCAUAAGGGAGAGUCAUCGGAAGGUAGCCAGCGAGCACUUCUUCGGAGGAGCGAGCUGGUCCUAUAGCCCGCUCUCCUGGUGCUUGAGGCCCGACGGUGGUCUGGAGUCCCUUCACGGGACGUCGCCGAGCCCUUCUCGAGCGAGCGGGAGCGUACGGCAGGCUGCUUUCCGCGACCUAAAACCGGUCGCUCCACACGAGCAGUGGGCGACCUUCGGAGGCGGCUGCUGGAACGUACGUUUCCCGCGCUGGGCACAGGCAGUUGGCGGCGAGUAGGUCGGUCACCCACCCGACCCGGACGACAGGAUGAGAGCGCCCAGUGGGCCACUUUUGGUAAGCAGAACUGGCGCUGUGGGAUGAACCAAACGCCGGGUUACGGCGCCCGAUGCGAGACGCUCACGAGACCCCAUGAAAGGUGUUGGUUGCUAUUGACAGCAGGACGGUGGCCAUGGAAGUCGGAAUCCGCUAAGGAGUGUGUAACAACUCACCUGCCGAAGCAACUAGCCCUGAAAAUGGAUGGCGCUCCAGCGUCGAGCCCAUACCCGGCCGCCGCGGCAGAUGGUACAGAAGCUUAUGCCGCGGUGAGUAGGAGGGUCGCAGUGGCGUGCGUUGAAGGUGCCGGGCGUAAGCCCGCCUGGAGCCGCCACUGGUGCAGAUCUUGGUGGUAGUAGCAAAUACUCAAGUGAGAACCUUGAGGACUGAGGUGGAGAAGGGUUCCAUGUGAACAGCAGUUGAACAUGGGUCAGUCGGUCCUAAGGAAUAGGAGAAGUCCGUUCCGAAGCGGGACGUUUAUUUGACGGCUAGUCCCGCCCACUGACCGAAAGGGAAUCGGGUUAAUAUUCCCGAACCCGGACAAGGAGAUCGGCCCCUCGGGGUCAAGUGCGGUAACGCAACUGAACUCGGAGAAGUCGACGGGAGUCCCGGAGAGAGUUUUCUUUUCUUUGU